rnacentral:lncRNA from 1 species
AGGCAAGAUCAAUUGCUACUCUGCUUUGCUUGGUUCCACAUCAUCCAUCCCAUGGACAACUCUCCAAGCAUGCAUCAACAACAGAGGUUGCAGUUGCAGGCACCCAGAUAAAGUUGCUGGUCUUUCCAUAGAUUAGGACAGCUACACAAAGCAGCACAGCACACUGCUCCCUUUUUUUUCUUUCUCUCUUUCUUUCUUGAUAUUCUACACACACCACCACCUCUACCCAGGCCAGGUCCCCUACUAGCAUGUGUAUGCGUGUAUGCCUUUGCAGCCGGCCAGCACAGAG